AUUGAACGCUGGCGGCAGGCCUAACACAUGCAAGUCGAGCGGAAACGAAGGGAGCUUGCUCCCAGGCGUCGAGCGGCGGACGGGUGAGUAACACGUGAGAAUCUGCCCAUUAGUGGGGGACAACUCGGGGAAACUCGAGCUAAUACCGCAUAAUCCCUACGGGGGAAAGCAGGGGACCUUUUGGCCUUGCGCUGAUGGAUGAGCACACGUCGGAUUAGCUUGUUGGUGAGGUAAAGGCUCACCAAGGCGACGAUCCGUAGCUGGUCUGAGAGGAUGAUCAGCCACACUGGGACUGAGACACGGCCCAGACGCCUCCGGGAGGCAGCAGUGGGGAAUCUUGGACGAUGGGGGCAACCCUGAUCCAGCCAUGCCGCGUGUGUGAAGAAGGCCUUCGGGUUGUAAAGCACUUUCAGCAGGGAGGAAGGCUUUGGCCGAAUAGGUUGAAGUACUUGACGUUACCUGCAGAAGAAGCACCGGCUAAUUUCGUGCCAGCCGCCGCCGUAA
rnacentral:rRNA from 1 species